GAUGAACGCUGGCGGCGUGCCUAAUACAUGCAAGUCGAGCGAACAGACGAGGAGCUUGCUCCCCUGACGUUAGCGGCGGACGGGUGAGUAACACGUGGAUAACCUACCUAUAAGACUGGGAUAACUUCGGGAAACCGGAGCUAAUACCGGAUAAUAUAUUGAACCGCAUGGUUCAAUAGUGAAAGACGGUUUUGCUGUCACUUAUAGAUGGAUCCGCGCCGCAUUAGCUAGUUGGUAAGGUAACGGCUUACCAAGGCAACGAUGCGUAGCCGACCUGAGAGGGGGAUCGGCCACACUGGAACUGAGACACGGUCCAGACUCCUACGGGAGGCAGCAGUAGGGAAUCUUCCGCAAUGGGCGAAAGCCUGACGGAGCAACGCCGCGUGAGUGAUGAAGGUCUUCGGAUCGUAAAACUCUGUUAUUAGGGAAGAACAAAUGUGUAAGUAACUAUGCACGUCUUGACGGUACCUAAUCAGAAAGCCACGGCUAACUACGUG
rnacentral:rRNA from 1 species